rnacentral:lncRNA from 1 species
UUUCCUGCAUUUUCCUAUGAGGAAUGUUUUUUUCUUGUUAACCUGUGGAUUGUGUUCCAGGAGGAGGCAGCCAAGGAGGACCUGCUGGAUGCCAGGAUCACCCCCAGCCCUCCCGAGGAGCUCAGCUGUCCCAGCAAAUCCCCGGGAACGGAAAUCCCCGGGAGCCAAACCCCAAACUCCAGCACAGCUCCGUGGACAGACCCCCCCAGUGCUCCUCGGGAAAACGGGGAGCAGCAGCAGGAGAAGCAGCAGGAGGCAGGAUCAGAGAGUGGCCCCGGCCCUCCCGAGGAUGAGGAGGGAGUGGGAGGCUCUGGGCAUUCCCUGGAAGUUGAGGAUGGCGCUGAUCCGCAGCCUGCCUGUGAUUCCGUGCCCUUGGAGACAACUCCUGGAAGUGCAGAGCCUGGGGGAGCCACUGAGGAAGGGCAGGAAUGCCAGGAGCCCUCGGAGCACUCGGAAAAGGAGGAGAGGGAGGUGGAGGAGGAGGAGAAGGAGAACGAGGAGCUGGAGGAUGAAAGCUCCUUCCUGGGCCCUGUGGAUUUGGUGCUGUCCGAGAGCAGCGAUGCCGAGAUGGAAUGCGAGCACGGCGAGCAGAAUCCAGGGAAUUCGGCGUCUCCAGAGGAGUUUGGUGCUCCUGAAGAGGAGCCUGUGCCCAGCCCCACCUCCCUGGCACCGCCCUGCCCUGACAGAUCCUCCCCAGCGCCCUCAGAUGGGGCCGGGACUGACCCUGGAGCCUUUCCCGAGGAGAUGUCACCAAACCAGGAGGAGCUCCCGGAUCCCUGGGACGCUCCGGGCACGCCGGAGUCAGAGACAGACGGGGCUGGAGUGGCCAGUCUGGCCGAGCUGGGGUCACCCCACGGUGACAGCGGGGAGCUGCCAGUCCCCCCUGAGCCCAGCCUUGUCCGUGGGGCACAGCCUGACAGUGUCACAGACAGCCCAGAUCCUGCUGGAGCCACGCUGGGGAACGGGAACGGCUCCGAGCACAAAAUCGGGGAUCAGGCGCCCUCUGGAGAGCACUGGGAGCCUGCUGGGAACACAGGGUCCCCCUGCAGACCGGGAAUGAGCCUGGCCCUGUCCCCUGACACCAGCUCCAUCUGCCUGACCUCUCCCACCGGGUCCCUGGAUCCGUGGGCUGCUCCAGAGGAUCAGCCCAUGGAGAGCAUCCAGUCCCCGUCCCAGAGCGACCUGGGACAGAGCAGCUGCUUCUCCCAGCAGGGUGGGGAUGGCACCGAUCCCGACCCCAAUUCCCUGGAUGCUGAGGAGUCACCCCAAGGUGGGAACGGGGUGUUGGUGGAGGAACAGCUGGGGAGCCCCUCUGCCAACAGCACAGAGGAGCUGGAUGAUCCCAUGGGAGCAGGAGAUGGCCGGGACUCCCCCUUGGAGUACACGGACAUAGGAGAUGACUGCGGAGCUGAGGAGAGCGAGGAUGUGUUCCCUGGGACAGAGAAUUCCCCUGGGAAUGACACCACGAACACGGAGAUGGCGGAGAUCCCUGUCCACCAUCACCUCCUGGAAUCAGAGCCCUCCUCCUCCAUCAGGGAGGGCAUCUCAGCCGUACAGGAGCUCCCCAGGCAGCAGCAGAGCUUCCCAAACAUCCACGGGGACUCAGCUCCUGCUUCUCCCGCCCCCAGAGACUCCAAUCCCGGCGUUCCCGCCGUGCCGGGCCGGCGGGAGUCGGUGCUGUGCCGCCUCUGGAAGCCGUGCUGGGAUGGAGGAGCCUCCCAGCUUCCCAGGAGGCGCCGCCACCGUGCCCGGGAGUCUCACCUGGCCCGCUCGCUGCUGGGGACCUGGAGGGGCUUGGAGGAGAUCACCCAGCACACUUUGGACAUGGAGUGUCUCCGCUUCCAUUAUAAGCUAAAAGAAAUCCUAAGGAAUGGCAGACGCCCCUUUUCUACCUCCCAAAGCAUCUUCCCGACGGACUUUCCUCCCCGCCGCGCCCCCUUCCCGCUGUCCCCGCGCAGCCGGAGCCCCCUGCAGGUGACAAUUCCCCCCUCGGACGCGUGGCCGGGCGGGCUCCGCUCCCGCGGGGACCCUCGGGCCGCCAGGAGGAGCCGUUCCCGGGCCAGGAGCCGGGAGCGCGGGG